ensembl:lncRNA
AUGUUAGUCCUAAUGUCGUUUUUAAUUAUUCUCUUGACAUCAGACUAUAGCAAAGGUCAAAUAGAGAUGCAUGCUUUUAACCACAAGACAGUGGACUGCAAUGAGAGGACUGUCUUACAGUGCAACAUCAGCUCAUCAGAGCCAUUGAACAUUGUUAAAGUGUACUGGAAAAAACUAGAAGAGAAAGAUUUUGAAUGUGAUCCAGCAUCCAGCAACGACCCUCCAGGAUUUGAGUGCAAAUACACAGGGGAAGCAAUGACAUUAACCAUCUCAAAUCCCACACCAGCAAACAUGGGCACAUACUUUUGUUGUAUAAAGACAGACUCCGGACAUGACAAAAAACAAAUUUAUGUGUCUAUAGGACAAUGCACUGGAGAAUUCUCCAACCAGAUGGCUGGACACAAACAAGUGGAGUGUAGCUUCAAUGGUGUGUACCCAGAGGCCAAAAUAAACUGGUAUCAUUAUGACAUGAACCUGACUUCCAACUCUACAACCACAAGCCUGGAGAACACUGAUGGAACGUUCAACAUCACAAGUGUCCUCAACAUCCAGGACAAUCACAAGAGAUAUAACUGCUCACUGUGGUCACUCAAAUAUGGACGACACAGUGAUCAAGAGUUUGAAGUGGGAGAUCAAGCUGAGUUCAGUCCUGUUAGCAGGAUCAGCACACAACAUUUUUUAUCAUGGACUCUUGUUUUCAUUGAGAGCCUGUUUGUCUUCAUAAUCUUCACAUAAUGACUCAACCCAACUAUCCCAAGACCUGACGACAAAAUCAAAGAUCUGGGGGAGUUUCAUAAAUUGAAUUUGCCAGAUAAGCUGAUCAUCUAUUCAAUAUUUGACCCACAACUUCAUGACUUGGAUUAUUUAGGAAAACACUCAUAUUAAAAACCCAAACUAUUUCAUACAGCAUUUUGAAAAUGCAUUUAUUCACAUUCUUUAUGCAAAAUAAUGUAUGAUCUCAAAUUAAUUGAAAGACUACACUGAAUAUACUGUAAAAAAUGUGAAAAGCUUUGUCAUUUUAGUGUCAUUGAGAUACAUGUAUAGUUUUUAUAAAAUAGUUUUUAUUUUUACAUUUUGCAAUUUCGUUUAAAUUUUUGUUCAAGUCUGUUUAACGUCAAUUUGUUUUUGUCAUUUUAUUGUUUUUAAUGUCUAUAUUGUUUUUUUUUUUUUUUAUUUUUUUUUUUUUAUUUUAUUUAUUAAAGGAAACAUUUUUUAUUUUUAUUUAUUGAUGUAUAAAAAUAAUUGAAAAUAAAAAAAAAAAAAAACAAUUCUGCUAUUUGUUA